CCUACGGGAGGCAGCAGUGGGGAAUAUUGGACAAUGGGCGAAAGCCUGAUCCAGCAAUUCCGCGUGUGUGAAGAAGGCCUUCGGGUUGUAAAGCACUUUAGUGGGGGAAGAAACAGCUUGGCCACACCAAGCCUUGACGGUACCCCAAGAAUAAGCACCGGCUAACUCUGUGCCAGCAGCCGCGGUAAUACAGAGGGUGCAAGCGUUAAUCGGAUUUACUGGGCGUAAAGGGUGCGUAGGUGGCUAUUUAAGUCGGAUGUGAAAGCCCGGGGCUCAACCUCGGAAUUGCAUUCGAUACUGAGUGGCUAGAGUUCGGUAGAGGGCGGCGGAAUUUCCGGUGUAGCGGUGAAAUGCGUAGAUAUCGGAAGGAACAUCAAUGGCGAAGGCAGCCGCCUGGGCCUGGACUGACACUGAGGCACGAAAGCGUGGGUAGCAAACAGGAUUAGAUACCCUGGUAGUCCACGCCGUAAACGAUGAGAACUUGACGUUGGUUCGUUUUACGAAUCGGUGUCGCAGCUACGACGAUAAGUUACUCCGUCCGUCGGGUAGGUACGGCCGGCCGACGGUUAGGUAAACGUUAAAACGGUAAAGUUAGUACGGCGUGAGACGUGCCGACGGACGACGACGAGGGAGGUAGG
rnacentral:rRNA from 1 species